rnacentral:lncRNA from 1 species
CCUCUUUUUGUUCCAGUUGUAACCCUUCUAGAAUUCGUAUCACUCAAUUGGAUGAACAAUGUGUGUAAAGAUACAAUUGAAGAGAUACGUAAACAUAUUUAAUUUGAUAUUAUUUUGAACGAAUAUUCAAUAAAUAUAAUUAUUUCUUAAUUAGAAAUAAUUUUACCUUUUUACUAACACCUUUUUUAAGUGAGUAUUCUUUUGAACUUUCCUUUGACUUAACUAUAAAACCUUCUCUUUCAACUUCUAAAAGUGUGUGCCACUUCUUGCUUAAAUUUUUUCUCACCUACAUUUAUUUGCUAGUUAGGAAGAAGAAAAUUUAUAAAAUAAAUUUAGACAAGAAAAAAAAUAUUAUUCCUUCCAUCAUCAUUUAUUUUCACCCUUUCAUUGUCUCCUUUUAUCAUGCCCAAUUGAUCAUUACUACAAAAUAAUUUGAAACAAAUAUAAGUUUAACAAGAACACAAAAAAAUUAACUAUUACUUUACAAAUUUUAAUUUUGACUUUCUAAAAAUGUAUCCAUGCUCCAAUAGACCUCUUAGGACUGGAGAAAAUUGUGUACCACUAUGCUUGCUCCUAAAAAUGAAUCAAAUAAUUAAGUUAUUUUCAUAACAUGAUUUCAAUUACUAUGUAAUAAAUUUUCUAUUUUUCUUUUAAUACGUUUAUAUUAAAUAGAAGGAGAUAAGUUCCUAUAAAAAAAAUUGUUAUAAGUUACUAUUACUACAUAUUUCAUAAGAGUUCAAAAUAUAAAUAAAGAGAAUAAGGAUAUGUAAGGGACAAAUUGAAAUAAAAUCAAUCCAUAAAUUUUGUAUUAUUAUCUUAUAUUUAUAAAGAAAUGUCAUACAAAAUACAUAGAAAAUUCACACUCCUAAAUCCCCACAAAACUCCCUCCAUUUUCAAUGGUAAAAAAACUAUGAACCUUUCUACUAUUAGCUUUAAUAUCUCAUGACCUUGCUUCAGGUUGCCUUAGUCCUCCUUUGGUCCACCCUUUAAGCAAGGGGGGUUCCACACCAUCUUCAUUACCCUUCCCAAUAUAUAUAACACUCACACAAACUAUGUUAAACAAUAAGAGUUCAAAAAUAAAGGUCUCAAAGUAGAAAUUGAAAAAAGAAAAAUUGAUUUCCAUUUUAAUAUAUUCAUUCAUUAAUCUUUUUUUCUUUUCUUUUCUCUCUUCUAAUAUGAUUUUAAGGCAAAGGCAAUAUGCUUAUAUGAAGAAAAAUAAUAGAAUAGUUGAACAUCCAUUCCACGAUGGAGAAUCAAUAUAUAUAUAUAUAUAUAUAAUUCAACAAUACUCAUUUUUUUUAAGGUUGGAGAACUACUAUAGCACAAGUUUUUCACUUCCACUCGUCUUCUUCUUCUUCUUCAUCUUCCUAUUUCUAGGGCAACUCCGACAAAGCUUCACCAAUGUCUCACUACCUUGGACAUUGCCGUCUUAGAGUUCAAAACUACCAUUGUCAAUGGGAGCAUAAAAAAUAAAUAAAUAAAUUUACAGAAUGGAGAAGAGAAAAGGGAAAAGGGUUUUGAUGGCAACUCCAAUAAAGCUUCACGAAUGCCUCACUAACUCGGACAUUGCCAAGUUGGAAUUCAAAACUACCAUUUCCAACAAGACCAUAAAAAAAAUAAUUAUUGUUGAAAUGGAGAAGAAAGAAAAAGGAAAGAAGAAGAAGCUUGUGGUGAAGGGGAGAAGAAGGAUGUGAUGAGGAUGUAACCCAAAAGAGAAAAGAGAAGGGAGAAGAAGGGGUAAUAACCAACUACCUAAACACCCCUUUUUCAACAAUUUUUUUCUAUUUGUUAUCCAUUCCGAUGGCCCAAAUUGAAUGAUUAUCAUCCAAUGGCCAAAAAUUAUUUAAGGUAUGGUACCCACUUCAUUACUCUAGAAUUUUCCAUUAAAAACAAGUUAUAAAUAUUUUAGGUUUUUUAAUAAACUUUUUUCUAUUUUUUGUUUUACAAAACAUUAUAAAAUAGUUUUUAAAAAUUAUUCUUCAAUUUUUAUAAUUAUUUACAAAAUUAAUUAUCAAACAAACCCAAAAUUCUUAGAUUCACUUCAAAACAAGCCUUUUGACUCAAACCCAAUGUGCACCUUAUUUAAUGUUAAAUAAGACAUAUUUUGCUACACAAGGAUUAAGAAAUCAAGAAUGUCCAUAUUAACAUUACAUAGACUUUCUUGAUUAUUUAUUUAUUUUCCUACAAAUAAAAGGGUUUUUUUAUUUAAAUUUUUCUAUGGAUCUAAAUAAGCAUUAUUUACUUAUAUUCAUAUAUAGAAUUUGUAUACUAUAAUAAUCAAACUGCAUCUUAAUUAUAAUAAACUUUUUUUUAUAAAUUAUGAAUAAAACCUAAAUUAAUUAUGAUAAAUAAUAAUUUUACAUUUUGAUAAUAGUGAUUGAUUAAUUGUUACUUUCUAGUUUUAUACAAUUAAGAGUGAUGAAAUAAUCUCAUAUAAACCUUCUCAUGUUUUUUCUUGAAAAUAUCCCAUUUUUAACACAAAUGCCUUUUCCCAUUUAGAUUUUAAAAUAAGAGUUUACUUUUAUAAUAACCCUUUAUCUUUAAAAUAAAAGGUUAAUAAUAAUAAUAAUAAUGAUAAUAAUAAUAAUAAUUAAUGUAUUUUUAUCUAAACAAGGCCAAAAUUAAAUGGGAGGUCAAAUUUCAAAAUUUUGAUUUUCAAAAAUCAUUUUAAUUAAAUAACCCUUUAUCCAAUCAUGGUUAGAAAGAUUGUCUAACUCAACAUCAAUUGUACAUAAAUAAAUAUUAGCUUUUACAAUGGUUAAGCUUAUUCAAAAUUAUAUUGGUAACUUUUUAAAAAUAUUUGUAAUGGGUGAACCUUAGUUUUUAUUUAGAUUUAAUACCAAAACACCUUUAAACUAGUAGUGCUUCUGGCAAAAGCUUUCCAACUUGUUCUGGACAUAGAGAAAAUAUAUCAUCAAUGUGGUUUUAAGCAUUUUAUAAAAGCCUUAAAUCCACAAUAAGCAAAUUUCGUUUCAAAAUUUGCCACACCCUGUACAAAGAAACAGGAUCGCACAAAAAUGCUGUUUAUUAAAAAAAACAUUUAUAAUAAAAUACAACAAUUUCAAAACUAUUUCCAAAUCUAAGAAAACAUUAAUAAGAAGUUAUUUUUCAAAAAGAUAACCUCAAUUUCAAUAUUGAAAUUAUCUUCCACUAUCUUUUCAAAAAACAACUUCUAACCCAAUUCCAUUUUAGAUUUGAAAAUAAAAUUUGAAUUGUCAUAUUUAAAAAAGAAAAUAUACAGUAGAUAAGUAAUCAUCAUCAGAAUAAGUAAUAGCAUUCUCAUCCACAACCAUUGCAAGUUGUGUAGGAAGGUGUCCUAAGAUUUAUACUAAUUUCAUCACUUGAUGAUUCCUUACCCACAAUCAACAACUAAAAACCCUAACAAAUUUAGAAAUAAAUGUAAAUAAAAUCAACAACUAGAAUAUAUUCUUACUUCAUCUUCAUUAGCAACAAUGAUCAACAAACCUAACAGCAAAGUUUAUCAAUUCAAAACAUAACCACAUUCCUUAUAAACAAUGGGGAACAAGAGACUACUCAGUGGUGGCAAUUUUGUUUAUGGUUCGAUUCUGCCAGCAAUUUUCCUCAACUUGGUUUAAGAAGAGGGAGCUUGGUAUCCUCAUUGUGGCCUCUAUUUUCCCCAACACAUACAAGAAAAAUCACAAAAAAAUAAACAGAAGUUCAAUUCUAUGAACUCUCAUGUAAGAAAUAACACAAGUACAGGUUUCUUUAAUUCAUAACAUGUGCUCUAGUAACACGUAGCUUUCUAUUUACAAAAUUUUAGAUCCAAAUGCAAUUGAACACAAUAGCAUUUGGAGCUAAAAUUUUCCAAACAAAAAUAUAUGAAACCAUGCAUGUUAUAAAAAGCUUGUACAAAACACUACACAAAAACCAUUAGAUACUAUUGGUACGAUUGACAAAAACAUGGGCUACAACUAAACUACACACUGAUUAGUUUAGGGUUCCUGAUAUUUCCAAUAUCAAAGUUCAAUUUGAACCAACCAUACUAGAAUUAGGCUUUUAAGUUAAUUAAAGCAAGAACACACUUUAAAUCACAUUGUAAUGCCCAUAAAUCUCAAGCAUUCAACCUUGUUUAACCCAACAAAAGGGAAUGAAACAAACCCACAAUCUUAGUUGGACUAGCACCAAACAAUUGACAAAAUCACAACACCAAUUUUGAACACCCAUCAAGUAUAUGCUCAAUCAGACAUUGUUAUACUAUGAUAGUGUUCAAUUUUGGUGUUAGGAUGCUAUAUGUUGCAAAUAAAUUUCACAAAUAGCUUCUCCAAACAGAAGCAUGGCAUGGAGAGCAUUAAUCUUGAAUGAACCUAUCAACAAUGCCAUUGAGCCCAUUGAAGAAGCAAUUUGCAGAACCCAUAUGCAAAUAAUAGCAUCUUUCUUAUUCUUAUUGUGAUGUUCAACAACAUAACUACAUCUACUUAGAAUACCAUUAAACCCAUCAAUCAAUACUCACUAAACUGAUCAUUUGAUGAUAACCCGAGAUUAAGAAAAAACCACUAAUCAAACCCAUAUCAAUAUACACAUAAUCAUUAAGAAUAAACAACAAUUUGAAUGCUACUAAAAAGAAUGACUCCUAAAAUUUUCUGUCAUCAAUCAACUCUGCUUCACUGGUUUAUUAGUCUAUCCAAAAUUCAAAAGAGCGCUUGACUUUUGACUUUUGAGCUAAAAUGACUCACCUUUUAAACUUAAAGUUGAGAAUUUUGAAACUAUGGUUCAAAAUAGCCUUUGAGCUUUCACGGGCUGUCCGGACAGCCUUGCUCGGCUGAUGUGGCUUAAAGGGUUAUUUUGAACAAUAGUUUCAAGGUGUCAACUUUAAAUUUAAAAAAUGAGUCAUUUUGACCCAAAAGUCCAAAACAAGGGCACAACAUCAGUCGCAGGAAUGAUGAACAGAAAUAGAUUCAGAAGCAUAGAAUUUAACAUCACUUGGAUAUAAAUAUCUCAGAUCAAGUGUUGGAUUAAUGUACUGUUGCUUCAUCCCAAUCUACAUCUAUUGAUCAUAAACCAGUGGCUUAAAUGCUGCAAAAGUAACAAAUAAAAAAUUUAAUUCAAAAUCAAAUUAUAAAAAAUAAAAAUAAUGAUAGAAAUUUUAAUGCAUCGAUGUUUUGUUUGAUUGACUGUUAUAAGAAACAAAGGUUGAAUCCGCAUUUUAGAGAACUCAUAAAAUCAAGAACAAUAUUUAAAAAAAAAACAAAAGAAAUAUUUUGGUUUUUUCUUUGUUCCCGAACUUUCCCAGUGACCAAACGGAUCCAAUAAACCACGAGAAAAUUUCAAUAAACGAAAAAAGCGAAAUGGAAGAAAGAAAGAGAGAUCGCUCAGUUCAGCGGGGUGGUCGACACGCAAAGUUCUCAGAGAAGAGAAACCGUGCAUUCCGGUCUGUUGAGCUUGAAUUUUAUGGAGUCAUCAUAGCGAUCUUCAACAAUAUGUAAACAGAAAGAGACUGCAAAACCCUAGAAAAACCGUAAACCAGAAAGUGUAAUGCUAGAUGGGAGAGUAACGAGAAUAAGAACCAAAAGAUGGUGGCUGUGAUUGUGAAACAACUGAUGAGAACUCUGAAUUUAUACAGAAAUUUUAGGGUUAGGGUUUUGGAAUCUCAUACAGAUUGUUGGCUGGACCAGCCUGAGCCCAAGAUCUUGGGCCCUUACUGGCGUAGAUUUAGUGGGUCGGGUUUGGUUGCGGAACCUCAAUGGAUAUGGGCCUGAGCCAGCAGAGCCCAAAGUCGGGGCACAGCUUGUGCAGGUUGGCCUAAUAUAACCAAAUGUUUGGGUGAGUUUUUGGUAAUUAUUUUCAAUAAUUAGUUAAGUUUGAGUUAUGUUUUUUCAACCGGUUCAAAUAUACUUUCAGAUUUUAGGUUGUUUGUUUUUUUUUACUUUUUCAUGACUUAUUAUUAUAAAUUUUUUGCUGAAUAAAACAAACUAAAAUAUUUGAUUUUUUCUAAUUAGGAAAAUAAUUGAUUUUUUUUAUUUUUUAAUACUUAAUAAUAAUAAUAAAAUGUUACAAAAAAACAAAUAACCUAAUACUUAACAUCACUAUUUAAUUUUAAGUUCUAUUUAGAAUUAAAUAAAAACAAACAAACACCAAUUUUUAAUAAAAACCACUUUAUCUUAAAUAUAAAAUUAAUUACACAACAACCCAAGCAUAAGCUAUAAACCAUUGGAAAAUAAUAUGGAAGUUUUUCCAACAGAAUUUGAAAAAUAUAUUAAACGAAAUUAGCCCAUGGAGGGUGAUUUUUCCCUCACAAGCACUUUGUAUCUAGAUUAUAAUUCUAAUAAUUUUUGUAUUCUAUCAUGUCAUAGUAAUUCAUAAUUGAAGUUCUAAUUGUUUUCGUAAUAUUCUAAAUAGGGAUGAUAAUGCAACAGGUUUUUUCGGGUAUCCAUCUCUAAUAAAAAAGAAUUUGGGAUAAAGAUAAAAGGGUUGGAAAGUUUUUAAAAAACUAGAAAGGUCCAAGUGGUAUGACUUUGUCUUAUGUCCCCUAUCUUAAUUAUAUAUAAUUUUAAAUAAAAAAAUAUUUUAAUUGAUUUUUUUCAACUUUUUAAACAUAAAUAAAAUAUUACUUUUCAUAAAAAUAAAUUAUAAAUAUUUAUUUAUAAAUUAUAAUUAUAUCUCUUUUAAUAAAAUUUAAAAGAAAAUAUUGAAAAAUUUUAAAUGAGGCAAAACAUGCAUGAGAAUUUCCUAUACUCCUCCCGAGCUGUUCCAUUAAUUUUUUUCUAUUUGGAUAGGAAUGAAAAUAGAUAUAAAUAGGAUUGGGAUGAGGGUGAUUAGCCCCAAACUUACUCUAUUGUUAUUCAUAGAUUUGAGGAAAUCUGUUAACUUUACAAGAAAAAUUUUCAAUCAAAAUAAAAAUAAGAAUUUGUCAAAGUGGUUUUACUUCGAUCUGAAUUUUCUUCUCUUUUUUCUUUUUCCUUUGGGCUUGUUCUUCCAUCUUUUAGAAGAUGGGCCUUUUUGGGAUGUGUAGGCAUGGAGGAAGUUGGGCUUCUUGCAAUGGAGAAUUUCCUUGGUCUCUCAUGUGGGCUUGCGAGUUUUAGACUUGUUUUUAUUAUCAUUGUGAUUUGAAAUGAAAGAUUUUGGUCUAAAAAAAGAAAAAAAUCGAUUUAAAAUCUUCAAAUUUGGUGUUUGGAAGGAAGGAAAGAACUUCAAAGAUUUGAUAGAUAGAUGGAUUUGUUUUUCUUUUUUUUUAAAAAAAAUUUCAAUUCCUUAAAAAAAAAAUUAGAGUUUUACGAUAUUUAUAUUUUAUUAAGAGAAAUGUAUAAUCUUGGAAUUUUAAGUAGAAUAUAUAUAUAUAAAUUAAUUCAAAAUUGUUAAUGGAAUUUUAAAUAAUUACAAAUAGAGCAGUUAAAAAUCCUUAAGCUAUGUUUGGUUCUCAAAAAAUUUUAGAAAAAAAAGAAAAAGAAAAAGUGAAGAAAUAAAAAAGGAAGGAAUAUAUACAAAAAUUUAAAAUCAAUAAAUUAUUUUUAUAUACUCCUUAAAAAUCAUUUCAUUUAUUUUCCUUUAUUAUUUACAGAUUAAAUAAUUUUAAAAUACAUAAAUUUUUAACUAAUUUUAAUUAUAUUUUUCAUAAUCAAAACCCAAUUUAAGAAAAUCAUUUUCUCUGAAUUUAUACUAAAACUAUAGGCUCAUGCUGCAGCUUCAAACUAAUGCUUACCUGAUAAAAAUAAGGGUUAUCUUGAACAAUUCUUUUGAAAGAGACCCAAAACAUAUAUUUGAACCAAAAAGCAAGAGAAAGAGAUCACACUCUGUUGAGUCUGAGGUUCGCGAAACAUUAAAGUUUCUCAAUCUGCUGUGCUUAGAAUGACCUGAGCCAAACAAAUGAAGGGACAAUAAGGGAAGAAAGCACAAUAGCCAAGAUUAUCGAUUCAUGAAAUCCCUAGUCUCACAAAGAGAAGUUAACUUAUCAAACCACAUACUUAGGGAGUGACAAAUAAAAUUGGUCAUCACAUUUGAAUAACGACCCAAUCCUUCCUGCUCAAUAACAACACAGGAUGGGGAAGAAGAAAGAUUAAAAGCUACCUUUCUUAACUCAGCAAACUGUACAGUUGCAUCAAAGUAUAUGACAUGUUGCUUAAAGCAACCAAAGAAUAUGUUCUAGGACCAACUCAUCAUCCUUUUACAGGAUCCUCACCGUAAGAGUGCGUUAGUCUUUUUAACACCAGGAAAUUUUCAUUCUUCAAGUAUUAAAAAUGCUAGAAACACUUUCUAUAAUCACUGUCAAACGCACUCUAAAUACCCCAUAAUCAAUAGCAACAUCAAACCCCUCUAUUCUCCAAAGCCACCCUAGUUCAUGCUACAUUCUGCAUACAGUAACUACACCACCUACAUGUUCUAGUAUGAUUAUUGUUUAAUACUAAAACACUUAAUAAAAGGGGAAGCGGGUUUUUUCAUGUUUUAUAUAAAUAUAUACUGGCCAACUGAGUUCACACAUUGUUAUGCAUGUCGUAUAGGAUAAUCAAAAGGAUAAAAGGAUGGAUGCUAACUAACCAUUGAUGUGGUUGUGGUGGCAGUUCUGUUCCGUGGCCACAUAAUUAGUAGCCAAGUGGUAGCACUAUGAUAGAAAUAAUGGCAGUAUAUCGAUGAUGCAGUUUAUACUAAGAGUGCGUUUAGGAGUGUCUUUGAAGAACUUUUGGUGGAAAUGUUUUCUCUAGAAGUAUUUUUAGGUGAAUCACUAAUCAAGCGUUCUCCAAAAAGCACUAAAGGUGAUUUUUCAAUUUUUUAGAAGUGUAUUCUAAAUUUUACCAAAUGCCUACUUUUUUCUUCAAAAACGCUUUGUAGGUUAGAAGUGCUUUUUCAAAAACAAUAACAAACGGAAUCUAAGCUCAUUGAAAAGGAAAUUUCUACAACUCUACAAAUUAACUUAGAGAUAUUAUACCCUCCAUUUUCUAAACCAUAAAAUGAUUGAAAAUCAAUCUCGUCAUUAAUGAUAUUCAAUGAUUGAGAUUGAUUUUCAAACAUUCGAUAGUUAAGAUUUUGAAGGUAUAAUACCUCCAAGGAAAGAUAGAAUUUUCCUUUUGUUAGGAUAUUGUAGCACAUGAAAAGAAUGAAGAGGCUUAAGGCCUCAAUGUUUUGGAUUAAUUUAUUAUCCAUUUGUCCUCAUCUUCAAAAAUAAAUAAGAUAAGCUUUUUGUGAUGAGUUAAUUGUUUUCAAAGUUAAUUGAUAAUCAUGUUGAAUUAUUAGUUGAUCCUAUAACAAUCAUUUUAAAACUUAAGAAUCUAGAAGAAGGGACAUUGCAAACUCCAAUUCCACAACACAUUUGAAAUAGCAAGAGAAAACCAGGAAACAGAAAUCAGAUCAUACGCUACUCAAACCCCCCUCAAGUCUACAAAUUUAAACAGAAGAUGAAGAGCAAGCGAAUAGAGGAUUACAUACAGUUCAGUCAGUUAGUCACAGAAUCACCAUACAUUCAACAUAGCAAUGAAUCAAUAGACCCGAAAAAUUCAAUCAAGUUAACACCUCAUUUUUUUUUUUCUCUCUUUAUUUGUUUUUGAUAGGCAAGAAGAGAUUUUAUAUAUAUAUAUAUAUAAGGCUCAACAAAGUACACACAAUAUAUAGAUUGUUGCCAAAAGAAACAAGCAAGCAAAAGAAAGAGAGAAGUUGUUGUGUUGUGCAAAGCACACUCAGUUCAGUGGGCUGGGGUACUCAAACAUAAACAUUUCUCAAAGAAAAGCAUUUCAAAUUUCUUGUGUUAUUCUUGAACAUUAUGAAGCACCAAUGCAAUCUUCAGAACAGAGAGCAAGGAACAAUAAAAGAGUCACAAUAACCAAGUCCAAUAUCCACUAUUAUUGUUUUUGAAAAUCCAUAGUCUCUUACAAGAAGUUAAACAUACAACCAACACUUUAUCCUGCACCAUGCCUUAUUAUAAGAACCAAACCAUGCUCAAUAACAACAUAUAAUGGGGAAAAGGAAAUAUUAGAAGCCAACUUUAGGAAACUCAGCCCCAUCCACUAACAAAAAAUUUGUUACAGCAUUUUAAAUGAGUUAAGCAAUUCAUCUGAAGAGACUCUCCGACUUGCUUCUCCGACAGACACAGUAAAUAAAUGUCCUUAAUUUUGAACAAAAUUACAUGACAUAUCACUGAAUCUAUCAAAGAAGCAAACCGAAGAGUCUAUUCGACAAAUAAAUUAAUUUAUUUUAUAGACACUGAAUCUCACCACUAAUGCUACCAACAAUAUCAACACCAAACACCAACCCCACACCAAACAAACAACACAACCAAACCCCCCCUUCCCUAACAUUUUCCCUUCCAAAAACCACCACCACCACACUACAUUAUGCAUAGUCAUAGACCCCACUAAUAUGAUUGAACUUGCCAAAAGGGGGAAGAAGUUCUUUCUUGCUUUUAUAUACCAGCAAGUUAAGUACAGACUUAUACUAUGCACAACAGAAUGGUGGUGAGGUAUCAUAAGAAGGAUCAAUACACAAUCAAUUAUCUAUAUAACAAUUGUGGCAACUAAGGACACAUAACAACUUUUAGUCACUUGUUGCCAUUGUGGUGGAAAUGACAAUGAUCUAAUGACUAGCAUUGACCAUGUUAAGUUCAUCAAAGAAGAAAUCUCUACAACUCCAUAUAUUAAAUUUUCAUGAACCCAAUAUAGCUAUUGAUAUGACCAUCCCAUGUGAUAACACAUGUUCAUAUUAAUAAUCAUAUUUGUUUAAAUACUUAAUCGAUUUGUAUUGCAAUUCGCAUUUUAUUUUAUGUGUAUCAUAAUUGUAUCUUAAGAUAAAUAUACGAUACACAUAUAAUAUAACAAUAUAUACACUUUUAACAAGUUUUCAUAUUUGUUAAAAAAAAAUAAAUUGAAAUUUUUUUUCUUAGAAGAGUGUUGUUUUAUUAAUUGUUUAAAAUGUACCAUAAGGUAAAAAAUUGAUCAUAAAAAGGAGAAAGGUAAAAUAAUCCUAUAUGAAAACCUACAUUAUUGAUGUCAAAGCCACACAUGAAAUGUUGGAAGUUGAUUAAAUUUAUUUUGAUAAUGAAUAUUAGGGAAUCUUCAUUUCAAUGAUUUGAAUAUGGGAAAGUUGUGUUUAUAGGCUGUUAUAUGGGAAAUAUAUGGUUUUGGAAACCCAUAUAACUGAAAUAUGAGAUCUACCUAGUAAUGAGAAAAAUAUUAUAUGUUUCAUGCACUAUUUACUGUUCAUAUUUACAAUUCCGAAAUUACCCUUUAGGUCUCCCUAUCACCCGUGUCCAUGUCAUCCGGAAAACAUAGGGAGAAAAAAAAAAGCAAUUUUUUUGGUUUUCCUUAGGGGUUUUGCAUGGAUUUUCUCAGAAAUCAAACGAGGAUGAAUUUUUUCGGAAGUCAAAUGGGGGCGACAAUGGCUCGAACAGAUCCAGAAAACAUAGGGAGCAAAAAAAAGCAAUUUUUUGGUUUUCCUUGGGGGUUUUGCAUGGAUUUUCUUGAAAAUCAAACGAGGAUGAAUUUUUCCGGAAAUCGAAUGGGGGCGGCGGCGGCUCGAACAGAUCCAAAAAACACAAGGAGCAAAAAAAAAGCAUAUAAUAUUUCAGAAAUUUCGGAAAUAAAGGAUAAUUUCGAAAAUGUAAAUAUGAACAAUAAAUAGUGUAUGAAACAUAUAAUAUUUUUCUCAUUACCAAGCAAAACCCAUAUUUCAGUUAUAUGGGUUUCUAAAACCAUAUAUUUCCCAUUUAACAGCCUAUAAACACAACUUUCCCUUUGAAUAUUGCCAAUGAAAUUGAUGGUGAUUAGUGAAUAAAACUUUUGACUUGACAUUAUGCUUUUUUUCUUUUAUGAAGAAGAAAUGAUGACAAACAUGAAAAGUUUGAACAAUAUAUACGUCAAACUCAUAUUUUGUUAAAUUUUAACUGUUCAAGACUCUAGUUUUAAUGUUUUUCUAUGGUAUGACAUAAUUUAACUUUUUUAAAUUCUACCAUCUUGCAUGAAAUUGGUUGUAUUUAUUCUUGAUAGGUCAUACAACCAAUGUCAUGCAAGAUGGUAGGAUACUACUUUAUACUUCAUAUUUCAAAUAUACAUUACUUCACUUGUUAGGUAAAAAAGGAAAUAUAACCAAUUUCAUGAAAUUGGUUAUAAGUUAAUUUAUACUCCAUAUUUCAAAUAUAUAUGGAUUAUGCAUGCACAUUUGAUUAAUUCAUUUUUUUAUUACAUAAAAAAGUUAGUAUACUCAAUAUGAUAUACUACACAAUAUAUAAAAAUAUAAAAACAAUGCAAAGUAGGUUUUACAAGUUAAUAAUUGUGAUUAAAAGUCAAAGUUAGAAUAAUCUUACAAUUAUUAAAAAUGGGAAAGCUACAAAAAAGGAGUACCAUCGCCCUAAUGCUACCAUCUUUCAUGUCAGAUAUCACACCAAGUUUACUCCUUACUUGGGCAUGUAUUAUCACAUAGUAUGACCAUAUCAACUACCAAAGAAUGCUUCAAGCCCAAAUUAUGUGUGCAGUAACCACAAAGUGUAACAUGCUUCUAAGUUAUAAGCAUAUGUUCAAGUUAUACUUUUUGAAAAUGAAUGAAAACUUUGUGUGAACCAGCUUUUAUUUAAUUUACUGUCAACACAAUCACAAACUGUUGCAUACAGGCCAUUCGAGAUUCAACCUUAAGGCUCAUUCCAUGAAAUGGGCUAUGCAAAGUCCACCCUAGACCCAAAUCAAUUUUGGAUUAAUGGUACUAUUCAUCAGAAUGAAUUGUUGGUCAAUAAAAAUACGCAUCAAUGAUCUUUUAAAACAUAAUGAAAGAAUUACUUUUCUAAAAAGUGAUUACCAUUUUCAUUUUGUUUAAUCAUCAAUAAAGAAUGAGUGCUUUUUAUAACAAUUGUAUACAAAAGUCAAACAACUUCAUCACCAUCCCGCUAUUAAGAAGACAAUGCAGGAUAACCAGCCCUCAUCAUUAUCAGAAGGGAAAUUGCAUUCUUAUGCAGAACAACCAAAAUUUGUGUUGCAAGGUGCUCUAACAAGUAUAAAAAUUCCAUCACUAGGUGAUCUUGAAAAUAUGUCAUAGAAAAAAUAAGCAAGAACAUGAAGAAAAGGAGACUACUCAGUGAUGGCAAUUUAGUUUGUGGUUCGAUUCUGCCAGCAAUCUUCCUCAACUUGAUUUCAGUAGAGGGAGCUUAUAAUCCUCAUUACAGCCUCUGUUCCCCCAAUUUAAAUAAGACUCAAAACACACAUUAAAAAAUUCCAAAUUUAUGAAAAAAUAAUCAGAGGAAGAAUUGCAUAUCCUCCCUUCCGACCUCCAACCUCCAACCUCCAACCUUACCUACUUCCUGCUCCAUUCAAAUUUUAAAUGAUAAUCUAGAGUACACAAUAUCCAUCACUUUCCUAGUUUUGGAACUAAUCAGAUAACACUGAAGGGCAUCAAAAAUGAAAUAAGAAAACCAUGUCCCACCAUCCAAUUGCAACUCAACACAAAGACAAGUAGGUCCAAAGAAGGUACUCAUGCACCAGGAAGUUUUUCAAUCCAUCAUUCCAUGUUUUCCAGUACAUUUAGUCACACAUUACAGCAUGUGAUUCAGAUUUUAUCCACAAAAUUUUAAAUUCAAAGUCCGUUAUAUCGCCACAUAUGAUGAUUAAAGUUAUAGUCUAAGAAUAAUGCUACUCUUGCCAACAAAGUUUGCAGAAAUUGCUUCACCUACGUACUCAUAGCACAAAUACCCCUAAUAUUUCAAAUAUUUUAGGGCAUGCCAUUGAGUGUGCCGACAAAGCAUUUUGGCAAAACUUCCUCAACAUGAAAAGCAUUUUUAUAAUUUAAUCUUGAUAUAACUACCACCAUAUGUAUCGUACAACUGCAUUUGAAGAUUAAACUUUUCCAAUAUAGCCAAUGCAACCAUGCAUCAAAAUUAAAAGAAGAAAGAAUUUUCUGUAUGACAGAAUACAAAAAAUUGAAAACACCCAGCUUACAAUGAUGAUAAUAAUAGUAGAAGAAGGUUAGGACCCACCAUACAUGUUUGGAAAAUGAGAAAGCUCAGUCAAGAAAAAAACCGACGGAAACUCCUUAAUGGAUGGAAGUAAAGUCCUUUUUUUUAUAAUUAUUUUGUAAAUGACAACAAAAAUCUCCAUUCUAUUCAGACCUCAUUUUAAAAAAAGAAUUAAAAAAAAAAUUCAUAAUUAUUUUCUAUUUAUUUCUAUUUCCUGAAACUAACAGAAUAUCUGCAUAAAAUUUUGAUGCAAUAGACGGAUAAACUAAUCAAAUUUCAGACUUUAUGAAACGUUAUCCUCUUUUCCUGAUCUUUCUCAGGAGGCAAACAAACGGAAUGCGAUUUCUGAGAAUAUUUUCAGUAGAGGAGAUCCCUCAGUUCAGUGGGGUGGUCGACACGCGAGGCUCUCAAAGGAGAGAAACUCCGCAUUCCGGUCUGUUGAGCUUGAAUUUCAGUGGGUCAUCACCGCGAUCUUCAUUAAAAUAAAUAUAGGAAGGGCUGAAAAACCCUAAUCUGAGAAAGAGUAAAAGGAACCCAAACCUGA